GUUUUAUUUUUCCUCUAAAUCCUCUCCCGCUUAAACCUUGUAAAGCCGCUCAAACUUUUCAACAAAAUAUUCUAAAUUGGCAAAACAAUAUACGCUCAAACAAUAUACUCUUGAAAUUGGCACCCAGCAUCUCCAUCUCCCUAUAUCUCAACCGAUGACCAAAAUCGUCGGCACCGUCACAGUAGCUGACACCUUCACAAUCACCGAUAAGUUUCUGUCUCUAUUUAUGAUUCGAUUGGGUGGAUUAGGGGUUGAUGAAAAAUUAUUGUUGGUUAGGUCUAGGGUUUCGAUUAUCGAAGUAUAAUCGCCGGCACCAUCUCAAUCGCUGCUAAAUUUUAUUCCGAGCCACUACAAUACUUUUUUUUGGGUUGUUGUUGCUCAAAAAAUAGACUUUAAGACAUCUUGUUAAUUUUUUAAAUUCUAUGAAAUUAAGCAAUGAGAAUAACGCAUCGUCCUUAAGAUUUACUGGCCAUUAUAUGGAAUUUUAUAGUUUCAUAUGUUAUAGUUUCAGUCGUUGUCCUAUGUUAUCUAUUUGAUAUAUAAAAAAUAUAGUAAUGAAGUGCUUUUCUAUCAUUCAAGGCAUUUUGUGCAAUUUGUUCCUUUAUUCUUCACUAAUACCAAUCAUUGUUGUUAGGGACAUGUAUUAGGAAAUUUUUCCCGUUCUUGAUAGUCCCAGUCGUCUAUUUGAUGUGCGAAGUCUUCAACUAUUUAUUCACUUUGAAGUUUAAAGUACACUUUAGCACCUCUGAUGUGCUUCUUAUCUAGUUUUAGCAUUUGUGUGGUGAGAAACUAGGAUUGCAAUUGCUUGAACUAUUAGAUUCAGUUAAUUACAGUUUCGAAACCUCUCUGAGAUAUAUAUUGCUAAAUCCUGUUAUAAGAGAUUUUUUUAUAUUUCUGUAUAAGCACUGCUUCUACCCUUAAAUUUGGAAAUCUCCGAGCAGAAAAAUGUUGCACUCUACUAAAAUAAUAUGUUGGUUUUAAAAGAAAAGACUUGUACAUGAUCAGUUUGAGCAUAUCUACAACUUUUUUCAAUAUCAGGUUUCUGGAGAGUAUAUCUUCUAUUACAAAUAUUUGUCGGACUUUCUUCUCAUGAUAUCUUUUUUUUUUUUUGAUAAGGUAGAUAUUUAAGCAUACAAGGAGGAAACCAGUCAAAUGUCUAAUUUUCUUUACUAUUGCUUAACAAAGUUAUUGAGGCAUUGCUAUUGUUUAACUCUCCAUCUUCUCUUUUUAUAUAGGUUUCGAGAUUGUUACUGGCAUUAUUCUCCUUCACUUUCUUAUCUUCAUCGUCAAAGUAUUUUGCUUACUAGAAGAACUGCACAGUUGUUCAACAACAGUAGAGGGACAACUACACAAUUGUGCAACAACUGCAGAAGGAAAACUAUGCAGUUCUGCUACAACAGUUCUAUUUUUCGGGUAAUUCAGAAGCAAAAAAGGUCUGUGGGCCUACUUUACUGAAAGAUAAUUGGAAACUUUCAAUGGAGAAGACAGUUGAUGUGCCGUUUAAUAAAUGCCUCAAAGUAGCAAUGCCACCUCAGGUGAACAGAUCCCGGACGCCAAUAGUGGACAUGAACAUCAAGGAUACCUAGUGUUACUGAAAAUGCUCAACUUUCUCACGGUCAUACAGUCUAAUGUUCGAUAAUUUAGCGGGAGGAAGAUUUCAAAAUGAUGAAAAAUUGCGGAAAUCAUUUGAAGACCAUCAUUCUUUGGAUUAGUUAUAUAAUGACAUUAGUUAUUUAGUUUGAACAAUAUAUGUUUAUUUUUUUUUAGUUACUAUGACAUUAAUAUCUUUUAUUAGCA